GCAGGCUGCAGGCUUUGAGCUGUCAGCACAGAGCCCAACGCGGGGCUCAAACCCAGGAACCACGAGAUCAUGACCUGAGCCAAAGUCGGAUUCUCAAUGACUGAGCCACCCAGGCUCCUCUCAUAUGGGCAUUUUAGCAUCUCAUAUUUUGAGAAGAAAGCAAUCAAUGAGAGUUCCUGUUGUUCCACAGACUCGCCAGUGUUUGAUGUUGUCAGUGUUGCAGAUUUUGGCCAUUCUAAUAGAUGUGUCAUUCGGUAAAGCCUGGGUGUGUGACAGACAACAAGGAACUAUUUGAGGACAUCCCAGUGGAUGGCAGAGCUGAAAGAAUGGAAUAACGGAUUAAAAUUGGGUGAGUUAGUCUCAAAAAUUUUUUGGAAGAGGAUUUAAAAAGAAACUGGAUGAAAAUCUGUCUGGAAGCUAGUUGGGAGAUUAUUUUGAAGAGAUGAUGGUUCCUGGAGCCCGGCUCCUGAUUGCUCAAGGAAGUACCUGAGAAUAAUGAACAGUAACGUUGGGACAGAAGAGAAGCUCAACCCAGAAGUGUUGUUCUGAGUGCCUGGACCCUCCCUGGCAGGAGCAGUUGACCCAAGAGAAGAUUUUGCAAAUAGGAGGAACCAAAACUUGGCACCAACUUUUGGAAACACAGGUUAACUGAUGCCAAGAGAUUCAAAAUGAAAAUGC